GCAGCGCGACGCCCCCAGCGUCCCGGGGGAGCGGUGCGUCAGCUCGGGCGGGGCGCUACAAAAGCCCGCGCUGCGGCCGUUCCACGCGCGAGCUCCGAGAGCGAGGGCAGCGCCCCGACCCGGGGCCGUCUGGGGCUCGGAGCUCCCCGAACUUUGGUUUCCCGGCGGGAGCCCGGCGGGCGGUCCUCUCUCCUGCCUCUCCGAAGCCGCGCGGGCGAGGACGCCCACCUUAGCCACAGCCCUGGCUCCGGCGACGGCUUCCCCGACGCCCGGGUGCAGCCUGAGUCCGUAAGGGAGCAUCCCCUCGGCUCGGCUUGUCUGUGCUGUGUGUGUGUGUGCGUGUGUGUGUGCGUGUGUGUGUGUGAUUGGGCACGCGCGCGUGUGGAUCCGCGCACAGCGCGCACGCUCCAGGCCAGAACGAAGGUAAAAUCCGGCAGGAAAAAGUAGCUUCGCUCUCCUGAAGCUUGGAACAUCACCAAUUCUAUCUCACCCUGAAUGUGAGAUGAUGCAUCUUUGAAGUAAAGACACAGGCCAGAGCUCACCUGGUCAUUUCAGUUGGGUUUCUAUGGAGCGAGGAUUGUUUGGGUUAAGUGAGACGAAAACAGGCUUUACAAUAAAUUUGAAAGCAGCAACAGCAGAGAAAAGAGGGGAAGAUGUUAGCAACGGUCAGGAACUCCAAGUAGUUGGCAUGGUUUUCUUGAACAAGAACAUCCACGCUGGAUAAAGGUAGAACCCUCAGUCCCAAAAUUGCUUCAGUACGUGAUGGGAUUAAAAGAGGUGCAUGCUUUUCGACACAGAGAACCCUUUAGUUCUGUUAACUGCAUUAGACCAGCCCCAAGGCACGACUCCACGACAGCUCGCAGUGUACAAAUAUGGGGGUCCUACUCGGGGUGCACACGGCCCGUUUGUAAAACACUACGUGCACACACACACCUUCAUAAAAAGAAAAAGCACAUCGACAGCUAAGCUUGCUAACGUACUUUUUUCUCAAACAACUCUCCCUCUCCGUAUUCGUUUUCCUCUGCGUUUCCUCCCUGACUUGUACCUGCGACAAGGUGGUGGUCACACUGGAGGCCACUAGGCUGGGCAUCAUUCUGUGGCUUUCAUCGUGAAAGGCGCGUCAUGAAAUGCCAGGGGGAGGGAGACCACAAGACGAUCUGGUGAACCACGACUCUGUACACCUGGUUAAAGGAUUAUUAUUGCUGUGCGGUUAUAAGCCUAUCCGGGGGCAUAAAGAAUCCCUGAACAUUACAGUGCUGAACAUUUGGCACGUUUCAGGAUCCACGGACUUGCUAAAUCUUAUUCCAAACUGAGGCUGAGAAAACGGUGCUAGCUUUUGCUCACCAUAGUUUUGAAGGAAAAUGGAACAAGCAAAGUUGUUCUUGGAAAACUAGGUUAAUUGAAGGCAAAUAAAGAUAUUCCCCUUCAGCAGAAGGAGCUGGUUAGGAAGUACAUCAAAUGAGGGCCAUGUUAUACAAAUGCCAGUGGGUUUCUCAAGAGUCUUUGGAAGAGCAAUGAAAGGAGAGGAAGUAGGAAGAAGACCCCAGCCCAGCCUGCACUGGUGGGUUCCUGGGCCAGGAGCAAACCCCGGGCACCAGGCGUACCCCACUCUCCUGUGUCCACACUGUCUGAGGCUGGGUUUCCGAGGAGGAGGAGCUGAGUUCUGUCCAGUGGAUCAACCACAGGUUUAGAAAUGGGGGAUCUGUAUUCGGGCUGCCUUCAGACUCUAGCACUAUAUCACCACGUACCACUCCAGUGUGCUGGAGCUAGAACCUCCCCCCUUUUCACUACUUAACCAUUGCAUAAUAAUUACAUUGCCCUGCUUAUUGAACACUAAAAGAGAAUUUGCACCUCUUUCUUUGCAGUUAUUGGCCAGUGUUCCAUUCUAAUGAGGUCCCCGGAUUGGGCUCUAUGGAGGAGGGAGGGGGAGCUUGGUAAAGUUCAGCUCUGAAAUGCAGAACAAAUCCUAUAAAAGAAAGUAAUCGAUUAUCUGAUAGGUAGAGGAGGACAAAAGAACUUGGGGCCAUGUUUAAGUAGGCCUCAGCAGUUUGCAAAAACUUUUCUUUAUAUUUGACACAGAAAACUUCAUAAAUUGCAUUUCUUUCUCUUCUUUUCUCUUUUUCUUCUUUCUUUCAUUUUCUUUCCAGCUUUUAAAUCAUCUCCAACCUGGGAGAUUUUCUUUUCUUUUCUAGUGAAAUGCUCCCGGAAGGCUUGGAUUAGACACCAACUAGCCACAAAUGCCCCAACAAUGAAUAAGCUGCGCCCAGACGUGUGGAGCCGUGUGGAGGGACCGGACCGGACCACAGCCCCCAGCUGUACCUGGUUCGGCGAUGAGGUCUUGCCAGCCCCAUACCAUUAGAUGUGAAAGGUGACUUGAAAACAUGACGUGAUUCUGGGCAAAAUCAUUGUGUCCUGUUGGCAAGAAGAUGUAGUUAUAUUCCCAAGUUCUGCUCAGGAACAGCCGGCCACAUGUCGGGGCUGACCCUUGAGAUGAGACAGGAUCCGUCCAGCACAUGGGAUUCAUGAAGAAACUCAUGUGUUUGGGGAGAGGGGAUGGGGUUUGGGGGUCGCCUCUCCAUUCUUCUUGCUGAGGGCUCCUGUGAUAAUCAGUGGCUCUGGCAGCCGCCUGGCAAACAAGGAUAAUUCAUCACCAAACAAUUUUCACUCUGACAUAGUUUAAUGAGCUCAUUUAAACUUUGCUUUUACAAAAAAUUUUUUCCCUGAUAAUGUUAAUCUUCUCCCUGCUAUUCCUUACAACUUAAUUUUUUUUUUUUUCACUUCUUGGUCGGCCUUGCAGGGAGUUGUGCUGCAGUUAACACAGAGGUAGAGGGCAUCGGUGGGUCAGCACGAGCCUUUUGGGCAGUAAGGUACCCCUGCUCCUGGAGCGACCCCAUGAGAGGCACAUCCUCACGUGUGUGGUGUGCUCCUCCUCACAGGUAUGACAUUUUGUCUGAAUUCCAUAGUCUGAGUUCAGGGGUCCACACACAGACUCCUAACUUCUGGCCACAGUCCUGAAUUCACAGCCAUAACUCUACUGAUGUUUGGUUUUAACCUUUUGAAAAUCAUCUUUAAUGAGUACUUCUUUCAAAAUUAAAGAAGCAGAUUCAAAAUUAGACUUCGAGUUGGUCUCUUCCAAGUUACUCUUUUAUCUUUCAAAAUGAAGCCCGCACCCUCGAAUUCAGCCUUUGAUCUCUUCCGGCCCUGCUCGUCCUUGGCACUCUAAGCUUUCAGACCAGCCUUGGGCAUUGCAAGCAGUGUCCGGAGUCACUGACAGUUUGGAGCAGAAGAGGUCACCAUUCCGAAAUUUUCUUCUCUUCCUGCCUCAUAAAUUGGAGGUUGACAUUGUUUGAACCCCCCUUCUCCAGAUUACAGACAUGGGUAAAAUGUUUUCACGAUUCUCCUCGGUGAGCCCCGGGGUCCUGCCUCUCAGAAGGGGUUGGGGCGCGCUCCCGCGGGCUGCUUUUCGCAGACCUGUGCCGGCAGCCAGGUUCCUGGCAGGUAACUACCCAGAGUGAGGAGGAGCUCCGAGACCCUGCUGAGGGGAGGUCACCUCCAUCUCGAUUUUGCAUCCAAACUCACACCCAGCCAGGAUCUCGGGGUCGGCAGGCUAACAAAAGGCAGAGUCCUCGAAUCGAAACCCCACGGUUUCUACCCAAGGGCCUUGGCCAGGAAACAGCGGGCCAGGGCGGCUGGAGAACCGCGGCCUCAGGUGCGGCUUUCCCCGGGUCCCCAGCUGUGGCCGGCAGCUCUCCGGGCCACUCUGACCUCCGUGGCCAUCGAGCUGGUUCUUUUCCCGCAAACAACACCUGCUGCC
ensembl:lncRNA